CCUACGGGUGGCAGCAGUGGGGAAUAUUGGGCAAUGGGCGCAAGCCUGACCCAGCAACGCCGCGUGAAGGAAGAAGGCCCUCGGGUUGUAAACUUCUUUUAUCAGGGACGAAACACGUGACGGUACCUGAUGAAUAAGCCACGGCUAACUACGUGCCAGCAGCCGCGGUAAUACGUAGGUGGCAAGCGUUAUCCGGAUUUACUGGGUGUAAAGGGCGUGUAGGCGGGAAAGCAAGUCAGAUGUGAAAACAAUGGGCUCAACCUGUGGACUGCAUUUGAAACUGAUUUUCUUGAGUACUGGGGAGGCAGACGGAAUUCGUAGUGUAGCGGUGAAAUGCGUAGAUAUUAGGAGGAACACCAGUGGCGAAGGCGGUCUGCUGGACAGCGACUGACGCUGAGGCGCGAAAGCGUGGGGAGCAAACAGGAUUAGAUACCCUAGUAGUC
rnacentral:rRNA from 1 species